rnacentral:rRNA from 1 species
AAGGAUGGUAUGACGUUAGUGGCGACGGGUGAGUAAUGUAUGAGCAACCUGCCUUUCAGAGGGGGACAACAGUUGGAAACGACUGCUAAUACCGCAUAAUGUAUUGAGAGGGCAUCCUUUUGAUACCAAAGGAGCAAUCCGCUGAAAGAUGGGCUCAUAUCUGAUUAGUUAGUUGGCAGGGUAACGGCCUACCAAGACUGCGAUCAGUAGCCGGACUGAGAGGUUGAACGGCCACAUUGGGACUGAGAUACGGCCCAGACUCCUACGGGAGGCAGCAGUAGGGAAUUUUUGCGCAAUGGGGGAAACCCUGACGCCAGCAACGCCGCGUGAUUGAAGAAGCCCUUCGGGGUGUAAAGAUCUGUCAGUGGGGACGAAACUUGACGGUACCCACAGAGGAAGCAUCGGCUAACUCCGUGCCAGCCGCCGC